UACGUAGGGAGCGAGCGUUGUCCGGAAUUACUGGGUGUAAAGGGAGCGCAGGCGGGAAGACAAGUUGGAUGUCAAAUGGAUCGGCUUAACUGAUUCUCGCAUUCAAAACUGUUUUUCUUGAGUGAAGUAGAGGUUGGCGGAAUUCCUAGUGUAGCGGUGAAAUGCGUAGAUAUUAGGAGGAACACCAGUGGCGAAGGCGGCCAACUGGGCUUUUACUGACGCUGAGGCUCGAAAGCGUGGGGAGC
rnacentral:rRNA from 1 species